GCAAAAUGAGAAACCGACGGCGGAUCC
rnacentral:piRNA from 1 species